rnacentral:rRNA from 1 species
GUAGGUGGCAAGCGUUGUCCGGAAUUAUUGGGCGUAAAGCGCGCGCAGGCGGUUCUUUAAGUCUGAUGUGGAAGCCCACGGCUCAACCGUGGAGGGUCAUUGGAAACUGGAGAACUUGAGUACAGAAGAGGAAAGCGGAAUUCCACGUGUAGCGGUGAAAUGCGUAGAGAUGUGGAGGAACACCAGUGGCGAAGGCGGCUUUCUGGUCUGUAACUGACGCUGAGGCGCGAAAGCGUGGGGAGCAAACAGGGAUUAGAUACCCUGGUAGUCCACGCCGUAAACGAUGAGUGCUAAGUGUUAGGGGGUUUCCCGCCCCUUAGUGCUGCAGCUAACGCAUUAAGCACUCCGCCUGGGGAGUACGGCCGCAAGGCUG